rnacentral:lncRNA from 1 species
UAAGAGCUGGAAUCUUAGAAGCAAAGUGGAAUUACAUUUGUGGCUCCAUCACUUACUUGUGGUGAUCCUAGGCCUCUCUGAGUCAUAAUUUUCUCAUCUGUAAACCUGGGACAGUAAUACCUACUGUAGGUGACUACUCUAGGAAUUGAAUGAGAUAAUAUCCCAAAAACACCCAGCACAGAGCUGGCACGUGGUACAUGCUCAGUUGGCUCUUGUUGCAAAGACAGUACUUCAGUGGCCUAGUUACAAAACACUCUGAGGAGUGACAGUUUUGUUCUGUCGACUGGAGCCUUCCCUGAUGACUCUAAGGAGACUAGUCAUCAUUUUAAGGAAUCUGCCUUCAGUAUCUUGUGUUUUGAUAAACGUACAGCACAUGGAAUUGCUAGACAGACUGGAAUCUAACUUUUGGGGUACAUGUUUGCAAAGAUAACUAAGAAAUCAGCAAAUUCUGGGUAAUUUAAGAAAUAAGUGUACUAGAAUCUUCAUAUAAAUGUGUCUGUCCGGGAAAGUGUGCCAUUGUGAUGAGGAUGUUUCUGAAACAAUCUCAUCCUUUGUCUUUGUAGUGAAACGGGAGACAUUAGAACCAUGGUUUUCCCAGUGAUGUACCUCAAUGAGAGUGUUCACAUUGAUAAAGAGACGGCGAGUCGACUGAAGUCUAUGAUUAACACUACUUUGAUCAUCACCAACAUACCCUACAUCAUCAUGGCGCUGGGUGUGUUCUUUGGUUUGGUUUUUACCUGGCUUGCAUGCAAAGGACAGGGAUCCAUGGAUGAGGUGAGAACUGGCUGAA